AUCUCUUCCAUCCCACAGCCUUUCCUUUGCAAAUGAGGAACUCCCAGAACAGAAUUCUAGUGGUGCCCAUUUUAAUUCAUCUACAUUUUCUCAGCUCCUGUUUGCCCUGUUUGCCUGUGGCUUGGAUUUUUACACCAGUAAGGGAGUACUCUGUGCUGGCUGGUUCACAAUGCUGGAUCCAUGGUGCCUGUGAUUAAAACAAAACAAAACAAGACAAGAAAUAUAGGUGGAAUGGAAACAAGCAAGAGGAAUAGGGUAGGAAGGAGGAGAGAGAAGGGGGAGUUGUGAGAACUCCCACGGAAAUAACAGCCUGACAAGAACACUUCAUGUAUCUGAUGCAACACAUAUAGAUAAAUGUUGCAAUACUUUUAUAGAACCUUACAAUAUUGUCUUCUCAAUUGUAGGCAAAGACGGGCUGCCUGGAAAGCUGGACCCAGCCUGGAGCCUGCCACCCAGAUUGCUAUUUUGUGAAACCUUCUGCAUACAAAUGACUCAGAUCCAAACAUUCAAAAAUGAUCUCGGAGGGCCAUCUGGUUCUCACUGGUUCUAAAAGCUUCAUUCAGUCCAGGGUGUGGAUCCGGUUCAAAAGACAGAAAAGAGCUUUUCACAGAGAAGGUCUAAUGUGUGCCACUGACCAAGGCUGCAAGCUAGCUUUUAAAACCAGCCAGCCAUGAUGCUCUGAGGGCCGGUGGAUGAUGACUUUCAUAGAUCAGUGGAAGUCUGAUAAAUAUUUAAUUGAUGAUGAGGUUGCAUAGUGGUUUGAACACACACACACACACACACACACACAAACACACAGAUGCAAUUUUGUAUCAUCAGGAAACACGUGUUAAUUUGUUUGGGUGUCUGAAUCAGUCUGUGAUUUAGACUGAACUAGCAUGUCAGGCAGGCCAUGAGGUCUCCCGGAGCCGUGUAAUCUUUGCGAUAUGUCAUUUUUAAUUCGUGGAGACAGUACAGUCAACCUUGCAGUCCGUAUGCUAGUAUUGCUUGCCUUUGCCGUUUACACAGCCUGGCUGCUUGUCUUCCUGACUAAAGGAAGGUUUGUGUCCUCUGAAGCCAGGGGAUGGCGACUGCUCCUUUGGGAGGCUCAGAGCAGGAACAGGAUUGGGAGAUUGUGUGAUCUCAGCCUCAGCUUUGGGCUACACCAAGUCCAGAGACGAGGCACCGGGGAACAGCAAGUGAAGUGCAUACAGUCGCGGGUGGGGUACUUGACUUACUUCUCAUUUCUGUGCGUUUUCUCUGACUCAUCAGACAGUAGUGUUCAGGGAGACACGCGUGCUUCCGUUAAUGCAGGCACACCAACCCAAAAUGUAGCGGAUGCUGUGGUCUUGAAAACUUUUUCGUUAAUGGCUUCUCAUACUCCAGGAUGCAGAGUUCAGGAAUGUCUUGCUCCCUGAAAUCCAGCACAGUGCGCCACAUAAAGAAUAUAUUCAAGGACUUUGUUAGAUACUGGAGACAAAAACCAGCUUGUUAAGGGCACCGAUGAGUGAGAUGGGUGAAUGUCGGGACCUUGGUGCAGUCAUCGUACCCCUACUCCAGGCAGCUCAGCUUUCUCUGUUCACUCUUAGUGAAUCCCGUGGUGGACUCACCUCAUCUGUCCAAGGCUAUGAUGUUUUAGGAGAGUUUCACCAUUGCUGAACAACGGAGACAGCCAGGAGCUCCUAAGUGCAAAGAGGUUGAUGGCUACAUCGCUCAUUCUGGAUGCUGCCAGAUCAUUCCCACCACCUGCCAUUGUGUUGUCUCCAGACAACGGCAGACAACCACAGAAGCUUCGAAGCCCUAAGGCUACUUGGAGAGAAGAAGACUGUCCCUGGCAAAGGUGCGGGUGACGGAUUUUAAGAAACUGGCAACAUAGAAGCUGGUUUUAAAAUAGUCAUAAGAAGUUGGCUUUUUCAGGUAAUGGCUUUUUUUUUUCUCUAUUACCCUCUAAACCUUCCAUUUCUUCAAUUUCUAGUGCAAUUUUUAGGACAUUGAAAACGUAUGUUUUUAAUGGUGCUAGUUUUAUUUUUUCUUUUAUUGGAUUUUUUAAAUUUACAUUUUAAAUGUUAUCCCCUUUCCUGGUUUCUCCUCCAGAAACCCACUAUUCCAUCCCCCACCCCCCUGCUUCUAUGAGGGUCUUCCCUUCUUCACCCACCCACUCACUCCCUCCCGCCUCCCUGCCCUGGCAUUUCCCUACCCUGGAGCAUCGAGCCUUGACAGGACCAAGGGCCUCUACUCCCAUUGAUGUCUCCUCUGCUACAUAGGUGGCUGGAGCCAAAGGUUCAU
ensembl:lncRNA